UGCCGUAUGUUGUCGGCCAUCAAGAACAGUAAGCUUAUUUUGCGCGGAUCCUGUCCAAGUUCUCUAAUCAAGUGUAACCCUCCACUUCGUACAUCUCAGCCGUCCAUUCCUAAUACUAACGCUGAUCAUUAACCCUUUCAAUGAUUGUGAUUAAAAGAUACUUGGAGAGCGUCUCGGCCUUCAAUUAUUAACCCUUUCAACUAAUACUAAUCAUUAGCAAUCUAUGAUUGCAACACUUGUCAGGUGUAGCAAAAAAAUAUAUAUUAUUGUAAGGUUUACAAUUGCCUUGCAAUUAAAUUAACAAGCUUCCAGAAAUGAUUAUAAUAAUAUAAUUAUAAUAAAUUGUUAUGUGCUGCCACAGUGUACUCCAUAUGAAAAAUAUGAGCUAGAAAACAACAGAAGCAAUUUGAUGUAAAUCUUAAAGAUGAUGAAUCUUUACAAAGAGUAAGUGAUGAAUACCCAAAGGACUUAUGAUAAACUGUCCAAAUUUUUAUCAGCUAGACUAGUUAAUAUUUUUUAAAAAUAAUAUAUUUCUUCUGUGGAGACAGAAACAACGAAAUAGCACAGCAUAAGAUACCAUUUGAGAUAAAAUACAGCAAUAAGAAGACGAUCAAUAAAGGAGAUCCAACGGACUCACACUGCUUAUAAUUUAUUCUCGAGAAGUUUUUGGUCGCAAACAUAUAAAGCACUAUAAGAUGGUUUCCAAGUCUUUGCACACGUCUCACACAAUCGCAGGUUCAUAGUAGUAACUAGAAAUUCACCAUGUCAUCGUGGGGCUGUUCACUCUCAAACCUUUUUGCACUGUAUGAAUUUAUUAGGGCAGCGGACGCAUCAACGCUUGAGGUUUGUAUCUUUGACAACAGUAACAGGGCAUGGUGCAUGUGACAGAACAUAGCUCGAUACACUGCCCAGUAAAAUCCUGCAGAAACAUUAAAGAAGAAACACGUGAGAUAAAGAGGUAAAUACUAGUGAGAUUAAUAUGUUGCUGUGGUUGAAGUUUAACUUUCAACAGAUAUGUGGAGUAAAUUUAUGCAUCAAAGCUGCAUAUAACAUUCUCAGGUUUGUUGAAAGAAAAAAAAAUGUUGCUUAACAGUAUCAACCAAAAAUUUCAGCCCCUUUAUAAUUAGCUAAGAACAUGAUGUUUCAAUUAUUUGGAGUCGAUCUUUUAUCAUCGACUCCAUAAAAGAUAUAUUUUAAGUGAAUUAAGAGCAUUAAAGAUUUUUAUUUAUACCCUCCAGUAAAAUGUUCACGUCUCUUCUACCUUCUUGUAUCAUGUAUACUAAUUCUCUUAGCACAUUUUCAUAUCAUUUACGUAAUUCUUUCUCAUUUUAUUCCUUAAACAUAGCAUCUUAAACAUCCAUAGGUCUUUCUCAUUUUUGCACAAAUUCAUAACUUCUACAAUGACUCGUUAGUUUCUAUCUUCUUCUAAUUUUAGACAUAUCCACUUCAACAUUCUAAUUUCAUAGACAAAUAUUUUAUAUAUGUUAACUAUUUAACUACCUACCGUUCAGAUUUUUAAAGCAUCAUUGACCUACAAGAUAACCACUAAGCAUUCAAUAUGAACUGAAGAUAAGAAGAACCAAGUAAAUAACAUCACAAAUGGUGUCAGAGCAAACAUCCAGUGUGUAGUACAUAAGAGCCUUGUGAAGCCAGUGUAUAUAUGAACCUCUCUACUCUUUCAUUUUGACACAUUUAUAACUGAUCCAAGGUUUACUCUUCCAAAUUGUACCUUGACAAAUGUGUCUCAGAUAGGUGUUUCAGACCAAAGGUGUAUCUUAUUAGUUGCAACCACUUCUAGGCAUGACCUUUAAUAGCAAUUAGCCUUUUGAUUCCCUUCAAUGGCACGGAGUUUAAUCACAAUAAUGAGGCGUAUAGAGCCUUUCCCACGGCCCUAUCAUUAAUUAUCACCAUUAUUUAUUUUCUUAUCUUCUUAUUGUUUCAUCAUACUAACUCAUGAUCAGGCUAAUUUGGAAAAUAAAAAUGGGAUGCAAGCGAGAAUGAUAUAUCAUCCUAGUUUGGCAAAUGCAUUAGGGUUUCUGUUAGAGAAAACAAAUAAAACAAAUCCAAGCCUAAAUAUGAAAACAACACCAUACAAAAUUUUUUGUAGGAUACAGCUUGGUUCAACAUGGAGCCUCACAAGCUUUGAGCAACAUCACUGAACUCAUAUGCCAUUUUGCAGAGACUGAGGCUGCAAAUUAACAUAUUCAGUGGAUAAGUUUAAGUUCCAUACUUACUAGUAAACAGUUCCCACUCAGUUUUCCGUUUCUUGGAAUCAAAUAAGGAAACCAUUUCAAUUUAUUUCUAAGCUUUAGGAAAAUUGGACAUUUUUCUAAUCCAACUCAUAACAUGAUUUCCAUGAUUAUUAGGAAAUGCUUAGCUAAACGAUCUAGACUCAUAAAUGCAUCCCUCAUCUUCUAUAGACAAAAUCAUCUGCAAUUAUAACUAUCAAAGGGGAAAUAAAUCAUUGCAAAAGUAUGUCAGAUACAAAAUGACAAAAAGCUAGUAACAAAAUCAUAAUGCUCCAUAUGGAUCGGCCUAAAUAGGUGUUAACCCCAAAAUUACUACAAUUAAUUAACUACUUAAAAGAAUAUUGAAGAUAAUCUCAGAAAUCCCUUAUGCACAGUGCACAUCCUCGAUUUUGAC
rnacentral:lncRNA from 1 species